CUGCCCAGAAGCAGGGGAUAACACUUGGAAACAGGUGCUAAUACCGUAUAACAACAAAAUCCGCAUGGAUUUUGUUUGAAAGGUGGCUUCGGCUAUCACUUCUGGAUGAUCCCGCGGCGUAUUAGUUAGUUGGUGAGGUAAAGGCCCACCAAGACGAUGAUACGUAGCCGACCUGAGAGGGUAAUCGGCCACAUUGGGACUGAGACACGGCCCAAACUCCUACGGGAGGCAGCAGUAGGGAAUCUUCCACAAUGGACGAAAGUCUGAUGGAGCAAUGCCGCGUGAGUGAAGAAGGGUUUCGGCUCGUAAAACUCUGUUGUUAAAGAAGAACACCUUUGAGAGUAACUGUUCAAGGGUUGACGGUAUUUAACCAGAAAGCCACGGCUAACUACGUGCCAGCAGCCGCGGUAAUACGUAGGUGGCAAGCGUUGUCCGGAUUUAUUGGGCGUAAAGCGAGCGCAGGCGGUUUUUUAAGUCUGAUGUGAAAGCCUUCGGCUUAACCGGAGAAGUGCAUCGGAAACUGGGAGACUUGAGUGCAGAAGAGGACAGUGGAACUCCAUGUGUAGCGGUGGAAUGCGUAGAUAUAUGGAAGAACACCAGUGGCGAAGGCGGCUGUCUAGUCUGUAACUGACGCUGAGGCUCGAAAGCAUGGGUAGCGAACAGGAUUAGAUACCCUGGUAGUCCAUGCCGUAAACGAUGAGUGCUAAGUGUUGGAGGGUUUCCGCCCUUCAGUGCUGCAGCUAACGCAUUAAGCACUCCGCCUGGGGAGUACGACCGCAAGGUUGAAACUCAAAGGAAUUGACGGGGGCCCGCACAAGCGGUGGAGCAUGUGGUUUAAUUCGAAGCUACGCGAAGAACCUUACCAGGUCUUGACAUCUUCUGCCAAUCUUAGAGAUAAGACGUUCCCUUCGGGGACAGAAUGACAGGUGGUGCAUGGUUGUCGUCAGCUCGUGUCGUGAGAUGUUGGGUUAAGUCCCGCAACGAGCGCAACCCUUAUUAUCAGUUGCCAGCAUUCAGUUGGGCACUCUGGUGAGACUGCCGGUGACAAACCGGAGGAAGGUGGGGAUGACGUCAAAUCAUCAUGCCCCUUAUGACCUGGGCUACACACGUGCUACAAUGGACGGUACAACGAGUCGCGAAGUCGUGAGGCUAAGCUAAUCUCUUAAAGCCGUUCUCAGUUCGGAUUGUAGGCUGCAACUCGCCUACAUGAAGUUGGAAUCGCUAGUAAUCGCGGAUCAGCA
rnacentral:rRNA from 1 species